GGGGAAAGUAGGGGAUGGUUCAAGGUCAACUUCAGUUGGUGAAAAUCUGCUUGUAAUACUCCCAACGGUAGCUCCACAAUAGCGUCUUCUCCCUCCUCAUUUUAUUCCCUAGGGAGCAAGUGCCCACGGCAUGGGAAAUGACUGGUUCAGGGUCACACAGUCAAGAGAAUACUGAUUUUCUGACAUCAUCAUCCACAGACCUUAAAUUCAUGGCAUGGGGCAUGACAGGGCAAGAGGCGUGACCUAUGGGGUGGGAUGUUCCACAAAAAGACUGCAGGGAACUCUUGCCAAGGAGAGAAGGGCUGGUGCAAAGGCACUGGGGUGAGGUCCCCACUGAAGAAAAUCCCAGCAGCACUCUCUCAGAUGCAGACCCUCCCAGGAGAGGAACCCAGGUAAUGCCAGGAGCAAACCAGAGACAGCUCCCCACCCCCGGGAAUAACUGAGGGCUGGGCUGCUCAGACAGGGGCAGGGAAGACUCAGAGGCCCUGAUGGCAAGAUUAGCACGUCACUGUGUGAUGUCUCAGGCACCUGUAGCCACAGGGUACAUUACAAGGAGGCAGGUCUCAGCUCAGCAAGAUAAAUGCUUACAUUUAUACCAAUUAAAUAGUUUGUAAAGGCAUUUUUAUAUAUAUCAUCUCAUUCAGUUUAGACAGUCACCCUUUGAGAGAGUUUUUAAUCCCCAUUUAAGGUUGGAAAAAGUGAAGAUCAGAGAAAUUCACUCAUUUCCCCAUGUUUUGGAGCCAGGAUUAGAAACCAAGUCUUGAAGGAGUUUCCACUGUUGCUCAGCAGGUUAAGAAUCUGACAUAGUAUCUGCGAGGAUACAGUUUUGAUCCCUGGCCUCACUCAAUGGGUUAAGGAUCUGGAGUUGCCGUGAGCUGUGGUGUAGGUCAUAGAUGCAGCUCGGAUCUGGUGUUGCUGCAGCUGUGGCAGAGGCCGGCAGCUGCAGCUCCAGUUCGACCCAUGGCCUAGGAACUUCCAUAUGCUGCAGGUGCGGCCAUAAAAAGAAAAUAGAAACUAGAUCUUUCUAGCUAUACUACCACUUUCUUUUCACGCUGAAAUUGACCUAAGAUGAUAAGGAGGGUGUUCGUGAUGUUUUCAAUGGCUAUAAGCAGGACUUGGUAGCUGCUUUUUCUUUUAUUGUUAUUUCCCCAAUACAAUUUUUUGUCCUACAGUACAGCAUAGUGACCCAGUUACACAUACGUGCUUACAUUCUUUCUUCUUUCAUUAUCAUGCUCCAUCAUAAGUGACUAGACAUAGUUCUUAACAGCAGGAUCUCAUUGCUAAUCCACUCAAAGAGUGCCUCGAUUAACCCCACACUCCCAAUCCCUCCCACUCCGUACCCCUCCCUCUAGGCAACCACAAGUCUAUUCUCCAAAUCCAUGAUUUUCUUUUCUGUGGAAAGUUUCAUUUGUGCUGUAUAUUAGAUAUCAGAUAUGAGUGAUAUCACGUGGUAUUUGUCUUUCUCUUUCUGACUUACUUCACUCAGUACGAAAGUCUAGUUCCAUGGCAUUAUUUUGUUCUUUUUGAUGGCUGAAUAGUAUUUCAUUGUGUAUAUAUAUACCACAUCUUCCUAAUCCAAUCAUCUGUCGAUGGACAUCUGGGCUGUUUCCAUGUCUUGGCUAUUGUGAAUAGUGCUGCAAUGAACAUGCAGGUGCACAUGUCUUUUUUAAGGAAAGCUUUGUCUGGAUAUAUGCCCAAGAGUGGGACUGCUGGGUUCAUGGGAGUUCUAUGUAUAGUUUUCUAAGAUACCUCCAUAGUGUUCUCCACAGUGGUUGUACCAGCUCACAUUCCCACCAACAGUGCCGGAGGGUUCCCUUUCCUCCACAACCCCUCCAGCAUUUGUUAUUUGUGAGCUGCUUUUUCAGAUGGAGGAUCUGAGCCCCAGGGGAGACCUGUCACCUGCCCAGCGUGGCACAGCUGGAACUCAGAGAAGUGGGGUAUGAAUGCAGGCUUCAGUUUGCAAGCCUCCCCCUCUUUCUGCUCCUCUUUCUUGUGGGAGUGAGCGAGCCCCUCAUUCCUGGAGGGGAAGGGACAAGUUUGAGAUGCCUUUCCGCCAGCUCACCUCUAGGGCGAGUGCUCCCAAGAGAGCAGCUGGGAGUCGCCAAGGCCCCCACCCCCACCCCCACCCCACCCCCACUUCCUACCUGGAGGCUCCCUGGCUGUGCUGAGGGGAGGACACACAGGACCAGGUGCCUCACUUGAAGCAUAUUCAAGUGAUGAGCAGAGGCUGCCUGGAGCAAGGGGCGGGGAGAAGGGUCCUGGGGGCAGCACCAGCGGUUUGGCUUUGAGGAGAAGGGAAGUCCAGAGAGAUAAGCAGUGCAGAGAGUGAUAUGAUCCAGCAGUGUUUGUAAAAGAGAAUUCUCGAGGGGCUAGGAGCUGGAGCAGGGGAGACCCAGGAGCCCACGUGGAUGCUUUUGAAGAUGCGGAUGCAGGGGACUGGGCAGCUCGGAUCAGGACAGCAGGCGAUCCUGAGGACAGCUGAUUCUGUGAGUUGAGAACAAUCCCUGCCCCUUGACAAUUAUGCUUGGUUCUUUGCAGCCUCCACCAGUUACGGGAUAGACAUCUCUCUUCUCUCUGGACGCAGCCUUUUUGCUUCCACUUUAGUUUACCCUGGGCCACCGUCUUCUUGGCGUUACUAAAUUGUCUCUAAUUAUAAUUUUAGGCUUGAUUUGCUUAUGGUUGGUCUUUUAACUCAGAAUUGCAAUCCAGGCGGUGUUCAUUCAUUUGGGGCUCUUACCUGUUUUAGAUCUUGUUUUAAAGGAAAAGAAACCUGUGAGUGGAAGCGCCACGAGGAGUUUUUUUGGGUGAGAAAUAUCACCCACUAUAUCCCCGAAGUUGCCAAACGCUGUUGAGACAGAUCCGCACGCUCACUAUUGUGUAAUGUCUUGGAAAUGCCACCCGCGUGUUGAUUUUUCUAUUCUCAGCUUACAGGGCAAAAUGGUGUUCACUUUUUCUAUUUAUUUUUGGAGAAAGUUCAGGAGGAAGAAGAAAUUCCUUUGGCAUGUUUUGAAGCGGACAGAAACACCACCUGGCUUUUUGUGGUGAAAAUGUGGGAAAUUUCAGUUUCCGAGUGUCUGUUCUGGAGGAAGCCAGCUGAACUUUGAGGCUUGGUUCCUGGGCAUUGGAUGCAGAGGCAAGGGUGCCUGACAGGGGCCGGGCUGCUCGGGAAAGUCAGCUUGUGGUUGGUGGUUGAAAGUGCAGCCUGGGGUUCUUCCUGAGCCUCCAGGGUCAUAGACUCCAGGUGAGAGGCCCUCUCAUUGUCAGCCUUACAUGCCCAAGGAAAAGAUGACAUUGAAAACAUCCCCCCACAAGGAGGAACACAGAUCUCACCAGCCAUUUAAGUCCUUCGGCCUGCUUGGAGAAGGCAGAUUGCGGAAGUGGUGGGGCUCCUGGGCUCCAGGCUCUCUGGAUCCAUGCCAUUGACUUUGCAAGGCAGCCCACCUCAGUUUCCAGAUCUGUAAAAUGGGGAUGCCCAGAGUCGUCAUGGCAACUCUAUGAGCUAACGAGUUCCUUUGUCCUUAGCACGAACUAAACAAACGUUCAUUAUUGGCGUGAUUAGACUUGCCACUGAAAUUGUAUUUAAAUGUGUAAAGGAACAGAUUAAAAGUGUAUGCAUGUGUGUGCGUCUUAGAACUGGUCUUCCAAGAAAAGUGAUUUAAAUGUGUGAGAAAGGAACACAUGGUCCCCUUAGAGACUGGGAUAUCCUGGGAAAUGUUGUAUAAGUUGCUGAGAUUGUGUCUUCUCAUUGCCAGAAUAUUCCAAGGACCAGGGGAGGAGUCAGCCAGUGGCCCAGCUGCUGGCUUUCCGGGGCUGGAUCCAUAUGUUUGGCGGGGUUUGUCCUUCUGGCAUCCCAGCCCUGGGGGAGGGGGCCCCCACGUCCCGAGGAAUGACGGCCCUGGGUGCCUUCCAGGCAGCUGCUUUGCUGAACAUCAGGACGCAGGGGAGGUCUGAGGCACGCCAAGGAAAGGGAGGUUCGGCGCUCUCCUGGCUCGGGUGGGCCUCGUAGGCUGGGGGGCCCACGGAGAGGGGAGGGGACCCCCAGGCCUGAGCCGCUGCACUGGCUGCCGUGUUGAUGAGCUCCAUCUGGAAACCUUCCCCCAGCAGCAGCACCAGCAGUGUGGCCCAACGCUCUGGCAGCGCAUGAUCCCGAUUCAUCUCCUCCUUGAGCCCACAGGCCUUCCUUACUCGCCGUGGACUUGGCGUCAGCCCCCCACUGGCUGCCAGGCAAAGCAGGGCAGUGGCGACAGUGAACAUUUCUUGGCUUCUUCCCACGGCUGGGCUGGUGCUGGGGGCUUCCCGGGGAGGCUCCUCAUCACAGUGGGUCCCUGAGAUAGGCAGGCAGGAUCCCCUCCUUGGCAGAGUAGAAACGGGAGCCCAGAGAGGUCGUGUUACAUGUGGAAAGUCACACAGCUGGUAAAAAAAGCAGUGCUGGGAUCCAGGCCCAGCUCUGACUCUAGAAUCCACACUGGUUGCCCUGAAGUGAGUUACCAUCUGGCGGAGACGCAGAGAUGGUAGUCACAGGGCACAGCGUGCAUCCUCUCUGGGUUAACCCGGGGCUGGCCCAUCUUUAGAGGCUAGAUGCUGCCAUGGGAACACAGCAGGGUUAGAAACAAUACAGCCAGGUUGAGCCCCAGCUCUGCCACCUACUGGUGGAGGGGCAAUACACCCUCUAAGCUCCUGCAAAUCAGAUAAAGAUAUUCACUUUGCCAGAUUCCUGAAACCAGUUGUGAUAACUGGGUGUCCUGCUCCUUCCUAGGUGAAUGUCCUUAAAUGGCAAAUAGUACUGUGAUUGCUAUACCUAGGACGGUCAAGUUGCAGGGGGCGGUGGGGAGUCCGCCCCUCCCAUCAGGAAGACCAGGCUUGUAAUUCCAAGGGUCUUAGGAGGGGAGAGAACUCCAGAGGCCCCCAGGUCCCCAGCUCUCCUGGCAGCUUGCAGCCUGGAUAUCGGCCCUGGCGGGGGUGGGGGCUCAUCUCAUUAUAUAAACUCCCCAGGGCUGGAUAAUACAACCGCUUCUCAUCACCCAUUCGAGCAUAUGAAAGAGUUUGGAAGAGAGUGAAGGAAUGUGUUUUUCCUAUUAAGCUAACUUUUAUCUUUAUUGGUCAAGAAAGACUUGGACUCCCUGCUGCAGCACAGUGGGUUAAGGAUCCAGUGUUGUCUCUGCAGCGGUUCUGGUCGCUGCUGAAAGCACUGGUUCAAUCCCCACCCCGGCACAGUGGGUUAAGGAUCCAGUGUUGAUGCCACUGGGAUGUAGGUUGCAGCUGCGGCUCAGAUUCCAUCCUUGGCCUGGGAACUUCCAUAUGCUUUGGGGGCAGCCAGAAAGAAAGAAGGAAAGAAAGAAAGAA
rnacentral:lncRNA from 1 species